rnacentral:rRNA from 2 species
UUUAAUGAGAGUUUGAUCCUGGCUCAGGACGAACGCUGGCGGCGUGCCUAAUACAUGCAAGUAGAACGCUGAAGAGAGGAGCUUGCUCUUCUUGGAUGAGUUGCGAACGGGUGAGUAACGCGUAGGUAACCUGCCUUGUAGCGGGGGAUAACUAUUGGAAACGAUAGCUAAUACCGCAUAACAAUAGGUGACACAUGUCAUUUAUUUGAAAGGGGCAAUUGCUCCACUACAAGAUGGACCUGCGUUGUAUUAGCUAGUAGGUGAGGUAACGGCUCACCUAGGCGACGAUACAUAGCCGACCUGAGAGGGUGAUCGGCCACACUGGGACUGAGACACGGCCCAGACUCCUACGGGAGGCAGCAGUAGGGAAUCUUCGGCAAUGGGGGCAACCCUGACCGAGCAACGCCGCGUGAGUGAAGAAGGUUUUCGGAUCGUAAAGCUCUGUUGUAAGUCAAGAACGAGUGUGAGAGUGGAAAGUUCACACUGUGACGGUAGCUUACCAGAAAGGGACGGCUAACUACGUGCCAGCAGCCGCGGUAAUACGUAGGUCCCGAGCGUUGUCCGGAUUUAUUGGGCGUAAAGCGAGCGCAGGCGGUUUGAUAAGUCUGAAGUUAAAGGCUGUGGCUCAACCAUAGUUCGCUUUGGAAACUGUCAAACUUGAGUGCAGAAGGGGAGAGUGGAAUUCCAUGUGUAGCGGUGAAAUGCGUAGAUAUAUGGAGGAACACCGGUGGCGAAAGCGGCUCUCUGGUCUGUAACUGACGCUGAGGCUCGAAAGCGUGGGGAGCGAACAGGAUUAGAUACCCUGGUAGUCCACGCCGUAAACGAUGAGUGCUAGGUGUUGGAUCCUUUCCGGGAUUCAGUGCCGCAGCUAACGCAUUAAGCACUCCGCCUGGGGAGUACGACCGCAAGGUUGAAACUCAAAGGAAUUGACGGGGGCCCGCACAAGCGGUGGAGCAUGUGGUUUAAUUC